rnacentral:rRNA from 1 species
CGGUGCUGGAAGGUUAAGGGGAUCUGUUAGAGCAAUCGAAGCAGUGAACUUAAGCCCCAGUAAACGGCGGCCGUAACUAUAACGGUCCUAAGGUAGCGAAAUUCCUUGUCGGGUAAGUUCCGACCCGCACGAAAGGCGUAACGAUUUGGGCACUGUCUCAACAACAGACUCGGUGAAAUUGUAAUUCCGGUGAAGAUGCCGGAUACCUGCGACAGGACGGAAAGACCCCAUGGAGCUUUACUGUAGCUUGACAUUGGGUCUUGGUACUACAUGUACAGGAUAGGUGGGAGGCUUUGAAACCAGGACGCCAGUUUUGGCGGAGCCAUCCUUGGGAUACCACCCUUGUAGUACUGGGACUCUAACCAUAGGCCAUGAAUCUGGUCUUGGGACACUGUCAGGUGGGCAGUUUGACUGGGGCGGUCGCCUCCCAAAAGGUAACGGAGGCGCUCAAAGGUUCUCUCAGUACGGUCGGAAAUCGUACGUAGAGUGUAAAGGCAAAAGAGAGCUUGAUUGCAAGACAUACAGGUCGAGCAAGGAUGAAAAUCGGACUUAGUGAUCCGGUGGUUCUGCGUGGAAGGGCCAUCGCUCAACGGAUAAAAGCUACCCUGGGGAUAACAGGCUUAUCUCCCCCAAGAGUCCACAUCGACGGGGAGGUUUGGCACCUCGAUGUCGGCUCAUCACAUCCUGGGGCUGUAGUAGGUCCCAAGGGUUGGGCUGUUCGCCCAUUAAAGUGGUACGCGAGCUGGGUUCAGAACGUCGUGAGACAGUUCGGUCCCUAUCCGUCGCAGGCGUAGGAAAUUUGAGAAGACCUGUCCUUAGUACGAGAGGACCGGGAUGGACG